AUUUUAUUAUUAUUACAAAGCUUUUAUCAACUUACUAUGUUUGUCAGUGGAAUAGAUUGUAAACGUUAUUUCUCCCACACCCAAUCUCGGAUCAAGCUGAAAUUUUUGCACAAUAAUUAAUUUUACUCGAUAGCUCAAGAUUCAAUUUAAAAAAAAACAAUUAGUUAAUUUGGUAUUGGAAAUUAAUAAUUUAUUUAAUUUCUUGAUCAAGGGAAAGAAAUUGUACUUCACGGAUGUGGUGGUAUAAGUUGAAUUAACCCAAUUUAUAAUUUUGUAGCUUGCUGUUUUAGAGUUUGAAGCGAUUCGCUGGCUUAGUGGACAGUAACAUAUGAAGUGUAAUUGCAUCAAUUAGUCUGUAAUUAAAUUAUUAAUAGAUCUAGACCAACAACAAUAAAUCUGUGCGGUACUUAUGACUAGACAACACUGUAUAGUUAAAUAUUGUUUGUUUUUAUCUAGAGUGGCGUCCUGUAAAGGUUAAUUCAGCUAAUAACACAACUUCAGUCAAGUGCAAUUUCUUUCCCUUGUCCGAGAUACAAAACAAAAUAAUUAAUUACCAAUACUUAAUUAAUUAAUAACUUUAUUUUUAACUUGAUUCUGGUAUUGUCAAGUAAAAGAAAUAAGUGUGCUAAAUUUCAGCUUGAUCCGAGAGUGCGUGCCGGAGAAAUAAUGCGUAAAAACUUUUUACCAGACAGACAUAGUGAGUAGAUUUAAGCUUUUUUAAAAAAUGAAAUAGUCGUAUGCCUCCUAAUGGAUUUUCAAAUGUUUUACUUGUUUAAGCGUUCUUGUUAAUUGAUUUCAAAACGGUUAUUUGAAAUUAUACAUCUUGUGUAUGUGACGUUUUAGCGCAGCUGUUUUGGUACGAGAGGUUCAGAUGAUAAUUUAAAAAAAAACAAAAAAAAACUUCAUAAUAAAGUUUUGUUGUUUUUUCACCAUACUAUACCAUAUUGUCCCCCUCCCUACCCAUCGGAAUUUUUUUUUUUUUUUGACUAUUUCAUGAACGCAUAUUGCGAACUAUGUAUGGCUGCCUGGUCCUCUCAUAUGUGCCCCUCCAUCCUUUUGGAAGUUUUAGGUUAGAAUGAAGUAAUCUUCAAUUCUGAAGGGACAUCCAAAACAUAACAACUAUGAAGGAUCAGAUUCCUUCAAGAGACCAUAAUAAUGACUUGCUUCCCCCCCCCCUUUUUUUUUUUCCUAAAUUAUAGGCGAGAUGACAUCAUUCGUAGUUCUCUUUUUUUUCAACUUGAAGAUACUAUACAUUAAACAAAUCAUUUUCCAAAUUUGCGCCAGUACGACAGUCGCGCCAAAACAGCUGCGCCAAUACGACAAUCGCGUCAAAACAGCUGCGCCAAUACGACAGUCGCGUCAAAACAGCUGCGCCAAUACGACAGUCGCGUCAAAACAGCUGCGCCAAUACGACAGUCGCGUCAAAACAGCUGCGCCAAUACGACAAUCGCGUCAAAACAGCUGCGCCAAUACGACAGUCGCGUCAAAACAGCUGCGCCAAUACGACAAUCGCGUCAAAACAGCUGCGCCAAUAGGACAAUCGCGUCAAAACAGCUGCGCCAAUACGACAGUCGCGUCAAAACAGCUGCGCCAAUACGACAGUCGCGUCAAAACAGCUGCGCCAAUACGACAGUCGCGUCAAAACAGCUGCGCCAAUACGACAAUCGCGUCAAAACAGCUGCGCCAAUAGGACAAUCGCGUCAAAACAGCUGCGCCAAUACGACAGUCGCGUCAAAACACCCUGAUUCAGAACAGGCUAACAUGUAUGGAUGAUGCCUGUUCGUGCGGUUUGCGCGCUGGGCUAUCGUGCGGCCUUAUCCAGGGUUCCAACCCUGCCCGCUCCCAUCCUACGUCGUCCUGAAGAAGGUUUGAACUAGGAAGUAAAGGAACAUCCGAAACAUUUUUUUUUUUUUUUUUACAAAAAGCCCAUUUUUGAUGUGGCCAAACUAUUCCCCGAAGUGUGACUUGUGUUUACUUUUUUUUUUUUUAAUUAUUACUGGCAAAGUUUUAUACAAGUGUUUGUUGGUAGGCUAAAGACCCAUUAAAAAUACAAUUAAGCGUGUGUUUUUUUUUUAAAUGAUUUAAAUAUUGGCUACACUAUACUAUUAACGCCUUUAUUGUAAUUUUAUAUCCAAGAAGACAUAGUUGUAACUGCUAUAAUCUUAAGAAUUAAACAUGAAGAAUACUAACAUCAAAUA